rnacentral:lncRNA from 1 species
ACAUAUAUUGAGAACAUAUAUCACACAGCAGAGUUAUGAACCAGUACAAUCCAUUUUACAUCAGAACAUAUAAACUAUUGAGGGUGUUGUUAUUCAGGCUCUUGCUGUUGACGCUCUUGAUGGCAACUAUCAUCAUGUGGCUGAUUGUGAUGGGCAGCACCAAGUAGCACGCUAUCCAAUCUUACCUACCAUAUUUACAAGAGUAUUAGAUAUUUGCAAAUAUGAAUGGACAGUAGAAAUAAGAGAAUUGCAACAAAAAUAAAAAAGAAUUACAUAUUGUCCAGAAUUCCUAAAUCUUAUAGUGCCUACAAAUGAGAAUAACAUUGUAUCUACUAUAAAACAAGAGUAAACAUGUGGUUUCUUAAAAUUAAUCCAAAGAAAAGUGUGUCAAAUGGAAGUUAAAUUUGGAUGAAACUUUUCGAGUAGAUGAUUUUUCAUAUAAAAAACUUUUUCAUCCGAGUUAGUAUGCAAAAGUUAUGCCCAUUUUUACAAAUUUCAGAGAGAUUUUGCAAAUAAAGUCAAAAUUCACAUUUACAGAUUAGUUUGAAAAUGGGACCUUUAGUACCGGUUCGUGGCACGAACCGGGACUAAAGGUCUCAACCCCAUUAGUUCCGGUUCGUGCCACCAACCGCGACUAAAAGGGAGGAGCUUUAGUCGCGGUUGGCCUGGCCAACCGCGACUAAAGGCCUUUGGGCACCGCGACUAAAAGGGAGGAGCUUUAGUCGCGGUUGGCCUGGCCAACCGCGACUAANNNNNNNNNNNNNNNNNNNNNNNNNNNNNNNNNNNNNNNNNNNNNNNNNNNNNNNNNNNNNNNNNNNNNNNNNNNNNNNNNNNNNNNNNNNNNNNNNNNNNNNNNNNNNNNNNNNNNNNNNNNNNNNNNNNNNNNNNNNNNNNNNNNNNNNNNNNNNNNNNNNNNNNNNNNNNNNNNNNNNNNNNNNNNNNNNNNNNNNNNNNNNNNNNNNNNNNNNNNNNNNNNNNNNNNNNNNNNNNNNNNNNNNNNNNNNNNNNNNNNNNNNNNNNNNNNNNNNNNNNNNNNNNNNNNNNNNNNNNNNNNNNNNNNNNNNNNNNNNNNNNNNNNNNNNNNNNNNNNNNNNNNNNNNNNNNNNNNNNNNNNNNNNNNNNNNNNNNNNNNNNNNNNNNNNNNNNNNNNNNNNNNNNNNNNNNNNNNNNNNNNNNNNNNNNNNNNNNNNNNNNNNNNNNNNNNNUGGGCACCUUUAGUCGCGGUUGGCCUGGCCAACCGCGACUAAAGCCCGCGAGCGCCCUGGGCCCAGGCAUUUGGUCGCGGUUCAUCUGCCGAACCGCGACUAAAGACUUCAUUAGUCGCGGUUCCUACAGUUUCGCGACUAAUGGGGCUGGACGGAAGCCUCUUUUUCUACCAGUGUCGUAAGUAUACUUUUGUGUGCACAGCAGUUUCGUUUAUGUAACAUGAGAUUCUGUUCUAACAUGUACUAUACACAUGAGAGGGACUGGCUGCAUCACACAUACAAAGCAUUAUUUCUUUGCAAAAGCAUGUGUAUUCAAUAAUUGUUACCUUAAGUAUGAACAGUGAUGAGCCUAUGCGCGGUCCCGAUUCCCAGCUUGUCUACUGGUAGGUUCCAAACUUCCCUAUCCCUAUUCCCUCAAAUAAAUAGUUGUGGGUUGUGAAUAUGCUUAACACCAAACAAGCAUGCACCUUCAAUAUGCUGACAUUAUCAUUAGUAAGCUUAAUUAUGCAUAUACUAUGAUGUUUCACAGUGUAGUAGUUCUGUCCUGUGGCUACACAUGUUGGCGUGGUAUAAUAACCUCACUUAAUUCCCUCCAAAUUAUAAUAACAUCCAUUGUCUUGCCCAAGGCGUCUCGGGGCUUUGCCGGUGCUGGACGGCGGAUCUGCUCCACCUUGUCCGGAUAUAAAAUGACAACUACUGGCGGUGGGCUGCAUCGGGUGGGCGGAGCUCGUGGCCCAGACCUGUUGGCGUUGCAUCGAUCGUUGCGGCUGCAAUCAAGAUGCGCACAUCGGAUCCAAUGGUUGGUCGUGUUGCACUGGAUUGAGAUCUAUGGACGGUGUCUUGAGGCAGAGUUCAUGGAUAUGCAGUGGCGCUGGUGGAUUUUCUUGCCGGGUCGGCAGUCUAUGAGUGAGAGGUUGGUGGCCACGAUCCCAUCAAUAGGUACGCGGACAUCAGUGUCAGCCUGUUGCUUCCCUAUAUGGUGGUUGUCCACUCGGACACACAGUUGACAACGUGGUCCUGCGCUGCUAGAUGAUUGCCAAGACGGGGUUGGAGGUCUUGGGUCUCUUGAUCCGGCAGCUAUGUCGAGUUUCUUGUGUUGCCAGAUUAUGCCGGCAUGGACGGCGAUGGCAAAGCAUGAUGACGGUACGACACUGUCGAGCGUCCCGAAUUUGGAUUUGGCGGUAUUGGUGAUCUUCCUCCUUCAAUCUCCGCUGCAUAAGGAAACGGUGACCUUCGUUUUUUGUAGCUGUUGGUGGCAACCGGCUCUUAUCGCGGAUUGAUUGUCUUCUUUGUGAGCAUGCUCUUCACUUGCGUGGCAUCUCACGUCAACGUCAUGCUCUGUAUGUAUCUGCUGGGAUCACGGGAAGUGGUGUGAACUUCACAUGAUGACUUCAAUUAGAUGGUGCUUCUCAAAUACUAGUCUCGAGCUCUGUGGUGAAAACCCGAGGUCUGGCCCUUAUUGGUUACAUUCGGCAAUGAUGGUGUUUCUUAUGUCGAUAUCUUGUUGGACGCGUUGUUCGUAUUUGCUCGGACUUGUUCUUCAGGGUGAAGACUCAUGAUCUGGCAUUGGAUAGUUGGAUCUAGCGACAACGGCGCUUGAAUGUCGCUUCCUUCCUAAAGAUGUUUCCUUUGGAGAAUCCUUCUCAUUCUAUUGGUGAUGUCAAGAGAUGUUGGUGCGGAUAUGGUUGCUGAUAGAUUAUUGAUAGUGUUUGAUCACUUGGGAGUUUUUUUUUUCCUUUUUACUCCACCAAGUAUCCGAUAUUGUUUGACUUUGCUAAUUACCUGCGUGAUUUGUGUGUGUGUGGGGGGGAGGGGGGGCAUCUUAACUAUACAGAUAACGGAUAUGUGGGCAUUGCUUUCGUAUCCUGUUGAUGCUUUAUUUUAAGUUAAUAAACAAAUUAUAAUGCAGACUAUUGAGAACUUAAUUAUGUCAUUUUCCAACUGUAGCCCGAGCAUGAUAGUGAUGUAAUACAGCCAAGUAUCUUUCGGCUUUACACCAAGUGUUUCCCCUUAAAGGACGAUCUCACAAUGCAAGUGUGUAAGUUAGGCAUCUGUUUUAAUUUAGAUCUUUAAGUUGAUUAAUUUGACAAACAAAACAUAUGAAAUGCGCCAAAAAAUAUACUGUAUAUGGUAAGAAACUACGUAUUUAUUUUGCUAGUCAAAUAGAUAGGCUAAAAACUUGUGUCCGACUUAUGUUCCCAUCUGGAGCGAGUGCUAAUAGAGGAACAGAAAUCUACAGAAAGCACGCUAAUUAAAAGAAAAAAAUAUAGAAAACACACACAUGCGUACGGACCUUGCAGUAGGGGAUGAAGAGGUGGUUGAGUGGGUUUGAGGUCCCGACGACGGCAACGUCGGCCAUGGCGCCGUCAGCUCCGAGCACCUCCCUCAGGGCCUUCUGCCUCAUGCCCGGCCCUGGCCUGCACAGUAUCCCGGUGUAGUAGCAGCCGUGCCUAAUUUUAACCAUCUGAAGUUCACGCCCGACCACCACGUCCGCGGCCAUGUACUCCUUCAGGAACCACUCCGCCAUGACCCUCGGCGCGCUCGUCAGGGCCACCUUCCUCCUCGCCGGCAGCCACAGUUGGUCGUACACGUGCGCGUUGAGCCUCUCUAUGUAGAACUUGGGCAAGACGGCCCGAGCGACGAGGUCGGUGUCCCUUGGCCUGAUCCCGACGAAGGUGACGAACGCCAUGACCCCGACGCCGGCGUCCGUGUGCUCGCCCAGGAUCCAUACGAGGGGGAAGGAGCAGAGGAGGAGCAGCGCCCGGAUCAGGCUACCACCCUCGCAGGCCAUGAGCAUGAAGUACGGGAAGAGGGCGGUGGACCUCAGGAGCCCGCCGUCGAAGUCGCACACCACCGUCGUAUCGCCGGCAGACGGGAUAGUGCACAGGGAGGCGGCACCGGUGGAUGGCUUGGUGGCGCAGGAGUUACGGUAGUUCGGGACGCCAUUGCUGCCGAGCUUCCUGGCGGCGCGGUACAAGUUGAUGACCCAACUAGUGGCUAUCUUCGGUAGAACGGUGUGGAAGGCCAUCUCCUGCAAAAGCGGUACUUGUGCAAGCUUCAGCAGAUACCUGCCACUGCCAACCUAUGCUCCAGCCAGAAGCUCAGUUCUCUACCACAAAUGGUGAAGUGUUUGGGGCACAGAGACAGAGACAAUGAAGAAGGGUGUCAGUCGCACUGCGGGAGGCGGGUGCGUUUUGUACAGAGAAUCGUCGGGAGUGGAUGGAUAUAUAUGGGGUGGGGAGCGUGCGAGGAACGUGACUACGGAAAAGAAAUUAAACGGGGUGGAUGGGAGAAGCCAGGGAAUGGUCCUGGAGAAUCCAAAUAACUCUGCAAACGAUGGAUGGCGGACCAAACUCGCACGACACUAUUGAUCCAUGGCUGUAGCUCACUGAACAAAUGGGAUGCAUGGCUGAUAUUCUGUGUCGUUCAUGGAUCGGCUGCAAAAAUAUCGUCCAUGUAGCAGUAAAAACAUGUCUGCAAAAACCAAGGUUUCUCCUAUGUGCAAAAUAUUCAAGAAAACAUGAGGCAAAAUGGAGGCAUGACAGGCUCACGGGGCCUUCCCAAUCCCAAGCUCUCCUCGUGUCCUUCAUCGCCUACCUCUACCCCCUUCAUCACGGCUUACAUCUCUUAGUGAGGCCACUACCUCUGAGAACCAUGAUUGUUACAACUUCAUCGGCUUGCCACACCCUCUCCCAUUAAAGCCGACUUCGAUUGUUGCUAGUGUUCAGAGCCCCUGACGUCUCUUCUCCUCAUCACACCAUCCAUAGGUUUAAUAUCAAUCACGUCGGACGAGUAUGGAAGGCAUAGUGGGUUUCUUGAACUCCGAUGUAGGUACACCUCCUAUCAUGAACCGUCAUUUGGGAACAGAGUUGUUCGAAUCUGCGCAUGCUUAGGGUUUCUUUACAGAGGUGAACAAUCGUCAGGGACUGAUGACAAUUUGAAUCAACAUGGGCUGAGGCAAUGUAAUCGCGCUGAGAUUCCUCUUGGUCUAAAGCGGCAAUCUCCAGUGUUGUCAUUUUCCGUUGCCACAUCUCCCAUUUCCAUAUUGUGUGAGCUAAGAGCAAAAUCGCGUUGAAAACACAAGCAUCAAUUCUGAUGAGUGGGUUUUUCAUUCAUUUUUACCCGUGUUUAAACCAGAUAUUCUUAAAAAAUAGUUUGAGAUAAUCAAUUUGGAUUGCCACUAAUGACUAAUAAAUGCAAAGGAUUGCAAAUCUCCUCAUUUUUUUUGUUGCUUGCAUACAUGGUCCAUUUUAGGUGCAAAAUUAAGUCAUAUAUGGAACUAGACGAUGCCCCGCGUGAUUGCUGCGGGAAUCUUGCUAAAAAUGAAGUGCUAAAUAAAGUAAGACAAUGUAAGAGUAUUUUGCAUGAGUAAGUUUAUAAAAAAAUGCAUCCAUGAGUUGAUGAGGUGGCAUGCUUUGCAUGAAUAAAUUAAUGCAAAAAAGUAACUCAUGACUAUAUGCAUGACUUGAUAAUGUGGCAUUAUUGCAUGAAGAGAAAAGUUAGAUAGUGGGUUACAACUAUUUAAGGAUAGACGAUAUGAGGUGCGAUGAUCAAUUCUAAUCGACCGGACACACUCAUCCCUCUCCAAGAGAGAAGAUAAUGUGCGCUAUGAGCACCCAAUGCUUGUACCGUUGCUUGUACUAGGUGCCACCGCCUCUGUGACUUCAUAAUUGAAAAUUUCCAUGGAGGGACCUAGGCUGGAUGGCAUAGAAGGCGGUCAGCAACCCUAUUCCUCUCGCUUACAACUAUACAGAGGGUAAGAAAACCAUUCGCGGGGGGAGAGACCAAAAUUCUUCCUCCAAAACAUAGUAACCGUCGUCACCAUUCCCAUCUACAGUAGUGGUCAUCUCCGUAUCCGCUAUCUCCACCAGCACAUCGCGAUCAAUGGCAUUGUAAGACUUACAAUCAUUCAUCUUAAAGUACUUUUCGCCAUAAUAUCUUUUGCUUCUGAUUUAUUCACGACGUUUGAGUAGUCCCCUCGGGCUAAGAGCAAAGGCCUAGCCUCAUAACCACUACGUGCAUCAAGGGGCUAUCAGUUUGCUUUGAGUUAAUGUAAUUUCUAGGUGUUGUGCAAUGAUUUUGUCCCUUGUCUCUACCUUGAUCGUAGGACUUGCAGGUACCCGAGACACCGUGAUCAGAACAAGGAGAGGUAAAGGUGAAUAGAGGAGUGGAAGUCUAUGCUGAACGUCAGUGACAAUAAAAUUAGUAUGGUAGCUGGAAUUAAGUCUCUAGGGGUAGAUAAGAUGCAAUCGUCAAACGCUCAACCUAUUGGUCUGGUUAUGCUUAAUAAUCGAGGUAACCCUAUUAGUCUCAUAGAGACUUGGUUGGCAAUAGAACCUCGAUGUAGCGGCAGUCGGCCGUGGGGUUAUUUGGCGGCAUCUCCGUAUAUGUAACGUUGUUACCAAUGCCAUGUUGUUUAUCUAGAUAGUAUCGUUACCAACGCCAUGUUGUUUAUGUAGAUAGUAUCCCAACCGCACGUACAUGUCUACAGGUGAAAUGGUUCGCCCUAGCCUAUUACUUCAUUAGUCUUUUCAAUCACCUAUACAAUUAUGAUAGGGGGUGUCCUCGAGGACAAGACCAUGACCAACGCCUGCAGGCACCAUGAGCAUCAUCACAAAGGUGAGCUCUAGGCGUGGAGGUGCUAUGUUAGGGUAGUAAAGGUGGCGUAGGAGUGCGAAGAGAUGCAAAUUGGCAAGUGAAGCAGAGGAGAAAAUCACCAACUACGAGUGCGACGACCGCGAACCAGAAUCAAAGGCAGAUAUGGGACUCGUCGCGAAGAAGGGUAGAGAGAGAGAGAGAGAGAGAGAGAGAGAGAGAGAGAGAGAGAGAGAGAGAGAGAGGGAGAGGGAGAGGUGUGUAUGAGCAAAACUAAGCAUAAUCUCUACUACUUAGAAAGAAUGCAAGGUUCCAUGUUUCAUUUUUCUUCUAACCAUCCCUUCACUCAACCUCGCCGUAAGAUAAUCAAUCAUCUUAAUUUACUUACAUUUUGAACCAAUUCUAUUGUAAUUUACUUAUCAAACUUCUCAUCAAACUAUAAGGUAAAUCAUGGACAUAAUUCGAUAAACAUUCAUUUAGAUCAAACUAAAACAUGUAUAUCUCGUUGCAACACAUGGGCAUUGUCCUAUAUAGAGAAAAGAGUAUACAAGAAAUCAUAUUUCUGUAGUAGUCUACGAUGUAGACCGGGCUCUCUCUUUUGGUACAAUAAAAUUGGGCAGACCUUUUAUAGGUCAAGUUUCUAUUUUAGCCUCGCCGCGGCCUCCAACUGCUACUCCCUUAAUUUUAUACUAGGGAGUAGCAGUAUUAGUUAUCGCUCAAGCCAUAAAAUAUAGCUAGAUGCAUCCAUUUCAACGACAAAUAAUAUCAGACGGAGAGAGUACUGCAAUUGUAUAUUUUAGAACUAAGUUUAAGGACUGAUUUGCACCUUUCCAAUAAUUUCACGGGUGCAUUUUACUCUUAAAUUAAUGUGGGAAAGCUAGAGAGGUGACCAUAUCAUCAACAUACAAGUAAAUCUCUACUACUUAAAAAGAAUGUAAGAUUCCCAUUUCAUCUUGCUUUUCACUAUCCCUUCGUCCAACCUUCCAUGUAUAUAAUAAUCAAUCACCUUAAUUUACUUGGGUUAAUUAUCCUUUUGCCCUCAGUGGUGUCCAUGUGCUCAGUUUUGCCCUCAGAUGCGAAUUGUCCUCAGUUUUGCCCCUAGUCCGUGCGCACCGACUCGUUCCGUGAACUCUGCCGUCUCCGUCAGGUCAACCUUUUGACUCAGCCCUUACAGGUGGGACCAGGCGGCAGAAACGGCCAAUUUUAUUCAGACCGUUGCACGCGUGGCUUGUGGGACCCAGCAAAGAGCCGUUGACCAGAGAGCCGUUGGCGGGUGUGCUAUAUAAGCGGGCGACAGCGGCGGUGACCACGGCGACAGAGAGCACGGCGGUGACCACGGCGAGAGAGAGAGCACGGCGGCGGGAAGCUAGCUGUGGAGGGCGCGGCGGUGGGAAGCUAGCAGUGGAGGGCGCGGCGGCAUUGAGAUCCCCUUCGGCUCCGAGCUCCAUGUCUUCCUCAAACUCCCGCGCCACCUCGCGGAUGCAGAGCCGGGCGCGUGUGGACAUGCCUGUCUUCGUCUGUCCGCGGUGCCGGGCGGGCGUUGAUCGAAGGGUUUCUCAGACACCGAGGAACCAGAAUCGUCCGUUCUACGUGUGCAGCGAGAAUGGGGUAAGAAUCGGGGCAAUUGCACCAUUUUCGUCGUCGGGAUGUUUGAGCAAUGGGUUGAUCUGUUUAGUGUUCAUGCAGGUGACAUGCUUUUUUCUUUGGGUCGAUGCUCUGGCCAAGACUCUGAUGAAUGAACUGCAAGAAGAGCAUGAAGAAUGGUUGCGCAUGCUGCCACGAACGGCAGUGGCCACACCACGAGCUCCGGAAGAAGAGAUGGAUGGCGAAGCACGCACUGACAGAGAGCUAGCUAUUGAGCUUAGGAUGUUGAAGAAGAAGGUUAGGAAGCUUGAAGAUCAAGCACUACCAAUACCCAUUUGCAAAUACUUUUGGGCAUUUAUAGGUAUGGUAAUCGCACUGGUUGUAAUAUUGAAAAUGUAUGGAAAGGCAUGAAUUAUGAAGGAAUUUGUAAUCUUGAAAUUGUUUGAGAAAUUCACCUAGUUUAAAUGUUGGUUAAAGUUGUUUAAAUGUUGAAACAAAAAGAGAAGAAGUGACCAAUAUUUAAAUAUGUUGGAAAAAAAGAGAAGAAAUUAGGAAUUCAGAAACUUUUGAUCAAUGAAAUGCAGCUCUCUGCUCUGCCUUUCUGUCCGAAAAAAAGGUUGCUCUUGGGCCAAAUUCAGAGCGUAGAGCCAAGUGCAGGCUAGACUAAUGGGCCAACUGCAUCCAAUUAGGCCCAUUCAGGGGUUUUCUUGUGUAUUUUUUUGUUUUCUAUUCUGAUUUAAUUUAGGCAGUAAAUCAUAAUGCUGAAACUUUUUGUGGAAGCUAAUUGAAUUAUUCCGGAGCCAAACAAUUAAGGUUAGAAAUUUUUUGGAGCUGUUAAUUAAUCCAAUUCAAAUACACCGUGAUUUAAAUCAAAGACCAAAAUGUCAUGGAAAAUGUGCCUCAACUCUGGUAGAGGUUUACGCCAGGUGCCAAAAUAAAUGAACAUUUUUUAAGGGCAUUACAUUGAGGAAAACAUAAUAUGUAUAAAAAAUGAAGGGUGGAAAAUGCACAAAAAAUUGGUGCGGCUGGGGACUCGAACCCAGGACCGCGUGGGUUUGUGGUGUUUAGGGCUGCGCUGGUAACCGCUAGGACAGAUGGCAAGACUUUGACAUAGGUAGGAAAGGAAGGUAUACAUAGUGAGACUGUGAAUUUUUUAAAAAAAAUUAGUGAGACCAUGAAUGUUUGCACACGCGUGAGAGUGGUUUUCCUUUGUUUUGCACUUAAAUUUUGGAGGGUUGCAAGGUUGAAAAUGUAUGUUGCACUACCACAUGAUUUUGAUCAGAGUGGCACUUGGUUUAGGGUUAGAGUGGCACUUGGCUUAGGAUUUAAAGGGAAUAAAUUUACAUGUUAGUUCAUGACUUUUUGUUUGAAUGAAAUAGAGGGCUUCUCACCCCCCUACGAUUUUCAUUAAUGAAAACCACAAGUUCUUGAACUUCAUGACUUGUUUAGGGAAGAAAUGAUAAGUUUGGGCACGGACAUUUUUUAACACACAUAAUGAGAUAGAACACACCGUACCAUUACAAUAACUUAGAUAAGUUCACGGACAGUUCAUGGACACAUGACGAAACAUGACACGACACGACAUGACAUAGAAAAGCAACAAAAUAAAAAACCAAACAUGACGAGCUUGACUCCGGGCUUGAACAUCUUCAUCUUGACCUCCUUCUUCCACCUUGGCCGCGCGCGCCCCUUCAACACCAUCUUCAUCUUCACACCUCCUCCUCGUUGUCGUAGGGAAGGGAGUGCAUCUGGCCUGGAGCGGGGAAGAUGCGCUCGUAGUUGGUGUAGAUGUUGUAGAUGGUGAAGAAGAUGGCCUCGCAGCCGCACCAAAAGACUUGGCCGAGGAGCUCGCGCGCGUCAAAUGGGUUGGUGAAGGUGACCGUGAGCAGUACGAGGAUGUCGCCGCGGUCACGAACCUCGUUGAGGGUGAACAUCCUCGGCGAGCCCCGUCGGAGGUGGGCAUAGCCGGCUCUGAGGAAGGCGCGGGUGAGUUCGACGAAACCCCUCCACCUUGAAAUAUCCCACACACGGAGCUCCCUCUCCACGAGCACGCCCGGUGGGUAGCGCAGCUCCGGCACCACAGGCGGACGGCGGAAGGUCGGCCCGUUGAACUGCAUCUUCUUCACUUGGUCUCGCUUGGGGAGGGCUUGGUCGCUUGGGUGUUUGAAGUUGGAGAGGAUUGGAUCUGGCUUGUGGGUGGGAGAGGAAGAGAGGCACCCCAUUUAUAGGCCUGUGGGUGGGAGAGGAAGAGAGAAAGGAUGAGAACGGUGCGUGCGUGAAUCCGGACGCGUGUGUGUAUCCGUUACGUUUUGCACACAUAAAUUUUUGCACGAAAACGAUGCAUCUUUGACCGGGCAGUGCAUGUGAACCGCUGCCCUGAACCACUGCCCUGAACCACCUAGCUCGCCUCGCUAGCCUAGCUCGCCUAGCUGGCCUAGCGCGCCUCGCUCGCCUCACUCGCAUGCAUGCACGUCGCCGCCUCCCGCGCAUGCGCAAACCCACGUAGCCGCCUCCAUGCAUGCAAGGCCUGGAAAGGCUGAGACGGGCUAUUUACUGCGAUCUCAGGCCCAGACAACGAGACGGCCCAACGGUCCAUCCAGCGCGUCCGAUAUUUGUUAAAAAAAACAAUCUCCUAGCCAAUCAGAUUGCAUCUCGCGGAUCGCCCCCCUCCUCCCCGCAUAUUUCUUCUAGAAGGGUUAGAUCGACGGUCCUUGAUCACCGCUAGGGUUAGAUGAACGGUCCUUAUUCAGCGCUAGGGUUAGCGGGGUUUGGGAGGGGUUUGGAGCAGUCAAAGCUAUGUUUGACCAGAUUUCAAAUGAGCAUAAUAAAUUAAAUAAAAAUCAGAAAAAUGAAAAACCUACGCACAUAGUCUUCUUAUGUCAUAUACUAACGAUUUAAGUUGAUAAACAAGCUUUACAUACAUUUAAAUGAUAAGUUCAUGUGUAUUGUAUGAUAUCUCGAGUAUCUCAAACUCUCUGGUAUGAAGUGAAGAGAAGUGUUUUGGGGAAAUGAACAUGAAAAUUUCAAAAAACUCACCACAGCUUCAUUUUGGAGUGACUAAGAAGGAUCCAGGCUUAGUUUUUCAUUUUGAUGUUUUACACUUGUUUAAAUCUUGGUCAAAGUUAAGUUUGACCAGAUUUCAAAUGAGCAUAAUAAAUUAAAUAAAAAUCAGAAAAAUGAAAAACCUGCGCACAUAGUCUUCUUAUGUCAUAUACUAACGAUUUAAGUUGAUAAACAAGCUUUACAUACAUUUAAAUGAUAAGUUCAUGUGUAUUGUAUGAUAUCUCGAGUAUCUCAAACUCUCUGGUAUGAAGUGAAGAGAAGUGUUUUGGGGAAAUGAACAUGAAAAUUUCAAAAAACUCACCACAGCUUCAUUUUGGAGUGACUAAGAAGGAUCCAGGCUUAGUUUUUCAUUUUGAUGUUUUACACUUGUUUAAAUCUUGGUCAAAGUUAAGUUUGACCAGAAUUCAAAUGAGCAAAACAAAUUUAAAAAAAAUCAAAAAAUGGAAAAACCAGCGCACAUAGUCUGUACAUAUAGAAUAUAUGUGUAGGAAAGUUAUUUGGCUGAUUUAGAUAAGGUCGAAAAAAACCUUGCUUAGAAAUGAGGCCGUUUACCCUACCUUUGGACCCCUCUUUUUAGCACAUUUUUCAUGAAAAUUUCAAAAACCUCACCACAACUUCAUUUUGGAUUGACUAAGAAGUAUCCAGGCUUAGUUUUUCAUUUUGAUGUUUUAGACUUGCUUAAAUCUUGGUCAAAGUUAGGUUUGACCAGAAUUUAAAUGAGCAAAACAAAAUUCAAAAAAAUCAAAAAAAGGAAAAACCAUGUGCUCAUUCAAACAUCAUCCAACAGAUAUUUAAACAUCAUGUCAAACAUACUUCUAACAUAGGUCCAACAUCAUCCAACAGAAAUACAACAUGUCAAGUGAUAAAUGUUUCAUAAUACAAUAUCAUUCCUUAUUCAUAAUGUUUCAUAAUUGUUCAUAGAUAGCGUUGGGGCUUCUGUCUGUUCCUUGAGCUUCUUGCCAUCACUUUGCUCCUCGUGCACCUUGUGCUCAUUGUUUCUUCUCUUCUUCUCUUGGUUGUCGGUACCUUGCGCGUCUUCUUCAAACCUACCAUAGAGCUGUGCAAAACAUAAAGGGUCCAAACAUAAACGGUAAUGAGAUCGUGUCAAGUGAUAGAUGUACAGUAGUAUUUGACCCUUGCAAGAUUUACAUACCUAGCAGAACUCACAACAACAGAAGGUUGGUCACCAUUUGGAGCCUCACUUGGAUCACCAUGAUCACCAUUUAGAGCCUCACUUGGAUCACCAUUUGGAGCCUCACUUGGAUCAUCAUUUGGAGCCUCACUUGGAUCACCAUGAUCACCAUUUAGAGCCUCACUUGGAUCACCAUUUGGAGCCUCACUUGAAUCAUUAUUUGGAGGAUAUUUUGGAUCAUCGUCAAAAUCAUGCGGCUGUUGACCAUCAUCGUUUGGAACCUCAAAAAAAUCCUCAUCUGAUGCAACCGGCUGUUGACCAUUAUUUUCAUCAUCUGUUGAGGCAACCGGCUGUUGACCAACAUUUUCAUCAUCUGUUGAGGCAAUCGGCUGCUGACCAACAUUUUCAUCGAAGCCUUCAUCGAAACUCUCUCCGAACGCUGGAUCUACUGUGUUAUCACAAUACUUACCGAAAUGACCAGACCCACCACAUCUUGUGCACUUACGCUUCCUCGCUCCAAGUCCAGCUCCUUCGCUGCGAGGUCUUAUUCGACUCUUCCUUGGUCUACCUGCUGCUCUCUUCAGAACUGGAGCGCAAAGCUUGAAUCCAGGGUCCACCAUGUCCCAUUGUUGUUUUCCUUCUAUAGCAGGCAAGGCAUAAGCAUAUGUGGCUUUGAACCUUGCAACAGAGUAGUAAUCAUGCACAUACUGUUGUAUGUUCCCUGCUGGACCUGGAAGAGAAGUGAUGAAAAACAAGACAUGAAUGCAUGGCAACCCAGUUAUCUGCCAUUGCCUACAACUGCAAGUUCUAGCUUCUAAAUCCACUGGAUAUCUCCAUUCCCUCUUCUCUUUAUCCAAAUAUGAUAUCUCUGUUGUGGUACCCGAGCAAAGCGUCAUGUUCAUUUCCAAGCCUAUUGUCUUCUGCUUCAGUUCAUUCAUCACGGCAGGGAUGAUAAUGUGGCCCAUGAAUUUUGCCUCGGCUAUUCCUGCACGAUAAUGAAAUUUCUGCAUGUAUUCUAUCCUUAUCUUGUCAAGCAAAUCCACCACAUAAUGACCCUUUAGUUUCCGGAUCGUUGAGUUGAAAGACUCUGCUAGAUUAUUGUGCACAUAGUCAACUUUGCUCACUUCACUGAAUUGGCUUCUGGCCCAUAACUUGGAGUGGUGUGUUUCCAAGUAUUCUUUCACUUUGGGAUUCAUGUAUAACUGCCUCAAGUGGUAGUUGUGCUUCUUCACACUGCAUGUCAAAGAUGCUGGCCAUAAAUUGUCGGUAUACACCUUUCCUUUGAAUUUCUUCAUGAAAUUUGCAGCAAGGUGACGCAUGCAUUCCCUAUGCUCUACUCCAGGGAACACAUUGUCCACGGCCACUUCUAAACCUUUGCAGGCAUCUGUAUGAAUGACCAACCCAUUGGGAUGUGCAAUAGCCCGGCGGAGAUUAUGCAAAAACCAAGUCCAGGUCUCCUCAGACUCUGUCUCCAGCACACCAUAGGCAACUGGAAAUACAAAACUAUGUGCAUCAACUGCACAAGCUGCUACUAACUGUCCUUUAAACCUUCCUGUGAGAAAAGUGGCAUCAAUAGCCAAAUAAGGCCUGCAGCCUGCCAAAAAACCCCAGCGACAAGCCUCAAAGCAGACAAAAACCCUUCUAAAGCAUUCCUUGGUCUUUGUCACUCCCCUGAAUGUGUACUCCACGGUGUGGUGAUCAAUAUCUACAAUACUACCUGGGCUUGUCCUCUCCACUUCACCUUUGAAUGAAUACAACAAUUGAAAACUUUCCUGCCAGUUACCAUAAAUAGAAUCCAUAGCAUGUUGUUUACCAUUGAACAACCUCAUGUAUGGUAAAUCUAUCUUGAACUUAUCUUUGAUGUUCUUCUGCAAUUCCUUGGCCAAAGCGUGGAGGUCGUCGAGGCAAGGUUCAAAGCGGUAACAAAGCCAAACAACGGUUUGCUAGGACAAGAUGGGUUAGAGGCUUGGUUCAACAAUAUGGGAGGCAUGAUAAGCAAGUGGUAGGUAUUGCAACAUAGGCAUAGCAAAAGAGCGAGCAUCUAGCAAGCAAAGAUAGAAGUGAUUUCGAGGGUAUGAUCAUCUUGCCUGAAAUCCCGCAAGGAUGAAGAACGAGUCCAUGAAGAAGACAAACGGACGUAGGCGAACGGGUCCUCACAAACGCGAUGUUACCGGAACCAACCCGAACAAGCGAACACCGGAAAUAAGCACACAACAUAGUAAACAAACCAACACAUGAACAAGGUAUGAUAUGCGGGAUGCGGUAUGCGAUGCAUAUGCAAGAUUUGGCAAGGAAUGAAUGAACCUGGCCUCAACUUGGAAAUCCAAGUAUGUCACUGGAAAGAUGAGAUGAAAUCGCUUGAAAACGAUAUAGAGAACGCCGGAAUCGGAGUUACGGUUUGUAAAUAGCAAGCAAUUCAAAUAUGGCACCGGUCCGCGAUAUACAACAAGUAGCCACCUAAAUGCAACAAGUUAAACAUGCUACAGCACUCAAACAUGGCAACAAAAUACAUGGCAGGGAUCCACUCAAGAAGCUUAACAAAAGACUAGCACCGAGCUACGGCCAAUUCAUCCAUUAACAGGUUCAAACAAGCAUGGCAAAAAUGCAAUUGGUAAACAGAUCUCAGACUUAGUGAAAUUAACACUUGUCUGGAAUUUCAGAUCAGGUAGCACACUUUGGAGCAUGAAAACUAUAUGCUACAGCACCUAAACAUGGCAAAGUAAAGCAUUGCAUGGAGCUACUCAAAAAGUUUAACAAAAGUCCCUUAGUGACCUUGAGCCAAAAAGGAUCAGAAAAUACAUUUGCAAGCAUGUGAACAUGGCAAAAACAUAAUCAGAUCACAGACUUAGUGAAAACUGGAACAUGCUGAAAACAGAUAUCAAGUAGGCAUGUUUACGAGCUCGAUGCACUCACUACAGAGAAAGUCAUGACAAUCUAAGCAUACACCCAUCAAUAAUACACAUAAUACAAGCUAGACAUGGCAAGAACAAUACCAUAGCAUGCACGGAUCAACUACAACAUCCUUGGCCAAAUCGCUAACAAGUAGACAAUCUGCCCAGAUUCACGAAAUAGCAAAAGUAGAGCUCGAUUGACUCAAGCUAGGGUGCUCCAUAAUUGCAAACAAAGACAUGGAUUGAUAGAGCACUACAAGUUUAACAAAACAUCCUUACUGAUCAUCCUCAAAAGAGGCACGGAUCACUAGGAAACAACAUGAACAUAUGGCAUAAAGAGAUAAACAGUCCAAGGGCUUAGUGAAAAUGCUAAGUCCCUGAAAUCAGCAUUACCAAGUGCCUCACUUAGCAAGCUUGUACUAGUCACCACACACAUCACAAAAAUACAUGGGUUGCACCUCUGGAAAGAUGGCAAAACCCUUAACAAAACAUAUGUAGAGCUCAUGGGCAUACCAUGCACACAAUAAUCAUGGCAAAAAUGACAAAUAUCUAAAUGAAGCAGCAAAUCUGACAUUAUCUCAAAUAGCAUACUUCUAACAGCAUUUCAGGCAUCAAGAUGGACUCAAAUGAAACUGAUGCAAUGAGAUGAAAUGAUGUUCUCUCUAAGACGAACAUUUUGAUAUGCUAUAUGUCCAAAACGGAUCUAUGGAUGCAAAGUUACGUCACGAUGAACAUGGGCAUAUGAAACAUGAAAAUCUCGGGGACUUAGUAGAAAAGUCAACCUCUCUCAGAUCUCAGAUCUAGGGUUCCGUGGCACGAACUUCGAGGAUCGCCGGAAGAGUCGCCGGAGACAGGGGAGGCGGUGGCCGGCUCGAGGUCGCCGCGGGCGGUGAUGGCCGGCGAGAAGCGGCGCGGUCGCCGGAGCAUGGGGCGGCGCUGGCGAGGUCCGGCAGGACGGCGGCGUGCGGGGACGCGCCGGCGAAGGGCGGCGCCGACGGGAAGGAGCCACGGCAGCAGGCGCGGUGGCGGCGCUCAAGCAUGGCGGCGGCGGCGGUCGAUGGAGAGGCGGCGGUGUCUCCCGGGCGGCGGAACGAGAUGGGCCCCGCGGGCCCGAUCCAGGCCGCGUGGGCCGGCGGCGGGGUUGGAGGAGAGAGAAGGCGGCGGAGAUGAUGUGGCCGGCGCGGAUUGGACGGGAACAGCGGCGCGGACAUUGUCCGGCCCGGUCGGACACGUCCGGCGGCUGGAGGAGGACGGAGACUAGGGUUUGUACCGCGAUUUUUGGGGAGGGGAUCUCAUAUUUAUAGGUAGAGGGAGCUAGGAGAGUCCAAAUGAGGUGCGAUUUUCGGCCACGCGAUCGUGAUCGAACGACCGAGAUGAUGGAGAGGGUUUAGGUGAGUUUUGGGCCACUUUGGAGGGGUGUUGGGCUGCAACACACACGAGGCCUUUUUGGUCCCUCGGUUAACCGUUGGAGUAUCAAACGAAGUCCAAAUGGUACGAAACUUGACAGGCGGUCUACCGGUAGUAAACCAAGGCCGCUUGGCAAGUCUCGGUCCAAUCUAGAAAUGUUUAAUCCCCAAACGAAAGAAAGGUAGAAAUGACCACCGGAGGAGAACGGAGCGCCGGAAUGCAAAACGGACAACGGAGAAAAUGCUCGGAUGCAUGAGACGAACACGUAUGCAAAUGAGAUGCACAUGAUGACAUGAUAUGCAAUGCAUGACACGCAAGCAAUGACAAGGCAACAACGGCGAAUAACUGGACGACACCUGGCACAUCGGUCUCGGGGCGUUACAGAAGGAGAGGAUGGGAAGACUCCGUCCAGCAGCAGCACGACGGCGUGGUGGUGGUGGAGGAGCGCGGAACUCCAGCAGGGCUUCGCCAAGCACUACGAGAGAUGAGGAGGGAGAGGCGUAGGGCUGCGCCAACAGGGGAAGAACCUUGUGUGUUGGGCUGCCCCUUUGCCUCCACUAUAUAUAGAGGGAGAGGGAGGGUUGCGCCCCCACCUAGGGUUCCCACCCCAAGGGGUGCGGCAGCCCUAGAUCCCAUCUAGGGUGGCGGCCACAAGGGGGAGAGGGGGAGGCGCACCUGGGGUGGGCCUUAGGGCCCAUAUGCCCUAGGCUUUGCCCCCUUCCCCUCUAGGAGGCGCCUUGGGCCUUGGUGGGAGGCGCCCCAACCCACCUAGGGGCUGGUCCCUUCCCACUAUUGGCCCAUAUAGGCCUCCGGGGCUGGUGGCCUCACCUGGUGGACCUCCGGACCCCUCCGGUGGUCCCAGUACACUACCGGUGAUGCUCGGAACACUUCCGGUGGCCAAAACCAUACUUUCUAUAUAUCAAGCUUUACCUCCGGACCAUUUUGGAACUCCUCGUGACGUCCGGGAUCUCAUCCGGGACUCCGAACAACAUUCGGUAACCGCGUACAUACUUUCCCUAUAACCCUAACGUCAUCGAACCUUAAGUGUGUAGACCCUACGGGCUCGGGAGUCAUGCAGACAUCGCCGAGACAACUCUCCGGUCAAUAACCAACAACGGGAUCUGGAUACCCAUGUUGGUUCCCACAUGCUCCACGAUGAUCUCAUCGGAUGAACCACGAUGUCAAGGAUUCAAUCAAUCCCGUAUACAAUUCCCUUUGUCUAUCGGUACGAUACUUGCCCGAGAUUCGAUCGUCGGUAUCCCGAUACCUUGUUCAAUCUCGUUACCGGCAAGUCUCUUUACUCGUUCCGUAACACAUCAUCCCGUGAUCAACUCCUUGAUCACAUUGUGCACAUUAUGAUGAUGUCCUACCGAGUGGGCCCAGAGAUACCUCUCUGUUUACACGGAGUGACAAAUCCCAGUCUCGAUUCGUGCCAACCCAACAGACACUUUCGGAGAUACCCAUAGUGUACCUUUAUAGCCACCCAGUUACAUUGUGACGUUUGGCACACCCAAAGCACUCCUACGUAUCCGGGAGUUGCACAAUCUCAUGGUCUAAGGAAAUGAUACUUGACAUUAGAAAAGCUUUAGCAUACGAACUACAUGAUCUUUGUGCUAGGCUUAGGAUUGGGUCUUGUCCAUCACAUCAUUCUCCUAAUGAUGUGAUCCCGUUAUCAACGACAUCCAAUGUCCAUGAUCAGGAAAUCGUAACCAUCUAUUGAUCAACGAGCUAGUCAACUAGAGGCUUACUAGGGACAUGGUGUUGUCUAUGUAUCCACACAUGUAUCUGAGUUUCCUAUCAAUACAAUUCUAGCAUGGAUAAUAAACGAUUAUCAUGAACAAUGAAAUAUAAUAAUAAUAACUAAUUUAUUAUUGCCUCUAGGGCAUAUUUCCAACAGAAUACCAAUGAUUCUCUUAUGUUCCUCAUCAUCACCCCACCAGAACUGAGAAAUUAAAUCAGUAAUCUCUUUACAUAUUCCUUUGGGUAAACAGAAGACUGACAUAGCAAACACUGGAAUAGCUUGUGCCACAGAUUUCAACAGGAUCUCCUUUCCUCAAGUGGAUAACUGUUUCUCCAUCCAACCCCUGAGCCUCUCUUUGAUUCUCUCAAUAAAGUGGUUAAAGCAGUCACUUCUAUCCGCUCCCACCAUUGCAGGUAGGCCCAAAUAUUUAUCAGAAAGUGCCUCUGUGUCAAUGUGAAGUUCCUGACAUAUUUCAGCCCUAGUGACAACAGAAGUAUUAGGGCUAAAGAAAACACUCGAUUUAGCGAAACUCACCAUUUGCCCCGAGCUUUGACAAUAAGUUUUCAGAACAUGUUGUAAGGAAGCUGCAUUAAGCGUGUAUGCCUUCAUGAGAAUUAGAGAAUCAUCAGCGAAUAAGAGGUGUGAUACUGAUGGUGCAUUCCUGAACACUCUAAUCCCUUCUAUGCCACCAACUUCUUCAUACUGCAAUAGACUGGAAAGACCCUCUGCACAAAUGAGGAAUAGGUAAGGGGAUAGGGGAUCCCCCUGCCUAAUUCCCCUUGUAGGGUUAAAAACAUAUGUUUGUUGUGAGUUAAAUCUCACUUUAUAACUAACUGAUCUCACACAUUCCAUGAUCAAUUCUACCCACUGUUCAUGAAAUCCCAAUUUGAUCAUCAUGUCAUGCAAAAACGACCACUCCACUCUGUCAUAGACUUUAUGCAUAUCGAGUUUUACUGCACACAACCCGGAUUGUCCUGUCCUUUUAUUCUUAAUCUUAUGCACACAUUCAUAUACUAUCAAGAUAUUAUCCGUGAUCAUUAUUCCAGGAACAAAGGCACUUUGAGUAGGAGAAAUGAUAUCAGGAAGUAUACUUUUCAGACGUAGAGCUAACAUUUUCGAGAUUAUUUUGUAUAGGACAUUGCAAAGACUAAUGGGUCUGAAUUGCGUUACCAGCUCCGGAGCAUCGGUUUUGGGAAUCAUCACAAUUGUUGUGUCGUUCCAAUUUGCUGGAAUUUUCCUCGAAUUAAUGGCCAUCAAAACCUCUUGAGUGAUCUCAUCACCAAUUAUAUGCCAAUAUUUUUUGAAGAAAAUUGCCACUACAAGAAAUCUGUUAAUACGUGAUGGAUCUAGUCCAUCACAGAUAAAUGAAAAACUGUCAUGGGUGUCCAUCCUUGACGGAUUUGAAAUCCGUCAUGUAUAUCGCGUCAUAAUUUAGUACCGUACCAGUCAUGACAGAUCUUGGCCGUCAUGGAUCUGCCCCAGGCCCGCCCAGGCCCAAGUCUUUGUGACGGAACAAUCCGUCAUGGACUAACGCCACGUAGGAUUUUUAGUUGACUAAUUCGAAUGAUGUGGCUUCCUACGUGGAUACUAUUUUUCGUCACAAAAUUCAUCAUGGAUUUAGGCAAAAUUUAAAGGACAGUUUAAAUUUGGUUGAGACAAUUAGCCCAUUUCUUUUGGCCGAAAUUUGACCCAGUAUGUUUUUAACAUAAUGCGUUACACAAUUCCUAAUGCCAAUUUUGGCCCAACAAAAAAAAAUUCAAGGUGUGAAACAUUACAAAGUUUAUCACAUCCAUCUGUACGUACCUAAAACAUAGCAGUCUAAAAAAUCCUCUACAAAAUGGUAACAUACAACAUAUAUUGAGAACAUAUAUCACACAGCAGAGUUAUGAACCAGUACAAUCCAUUUUACAUCAGAACAUAUAAACUAUUGAGGGUGUUGUUAUUCAGGCUCUUGCUGUUGACGCUCUUGAUGGCAACUAUCAUCCUGUGGCUGAUUGUGAUGGGCAGCACCAAGUAGCACGCUAUCCAAUCUUACCUACCAUAUUUACAAGAGUAUUAGAUAUUUGCAAAUAUGAAUGGACAGUAGAAAUAAGAGAAUUG